GGAUUGUGGCUCAGUGGUAGAGUGCUCACCUAGUGCAUUCAAGGCCCUGGGUUCGAUCCUCAGCACCA
rnacentral:tRNA from 1 species